GUGAAAAACCAUUAGAUGACGUAAUUGGGGAAUUCCCUUUUCAUGCGCCCUUAUCAAUUAUCACUGUGUCACUGCCCCAAUCACUCCCCCGUCAUUUCAGCAAAUAGUAUUACGUUCUCCAGCGAAGGGUGUAUCUCAUUUAAAGUCUUGUUUAAUUAAGCGUUUAUAUUAAACUCAACCGCUCGAUGGAUUGCUCUUUAUCCAAUUCAAAAUCGAAGAUGUUUACCGGUAUAUCGGU